AGCCUUGUAAUGUACAGCAUAUAAAAUUGCAAAUUUUAAAGAGCAGAAUAGAAUCUGCCGGGGCU
rnacentral:tRNA from 2 species